rnacentral:rRNA from 1 species
UACGGAGGUGGCAAGCGUUACUCGGAUUUACUGGGUGUAAAGCGCACGUAGGCGGUUAGAUAAGCUCUGCCUAAAAUCCUCGCGCUCAACGCGAGAUCGUGGUGGAGGACUGUCUGACUUGAGGGUUGGAGAGGCGAGCGGAAUUCCCGGUGUAAGGGUGACAUCUGUAGAUAUCGGGAGGAACACCAGUGGCGAAGGCGGCUCGCUGGCCAAUUACUGACGCUGAGGUGCGAAAGCUAGGGGAGCAAACAGG